rnacentral:rRNA from 1 species
AUGCUCGUGGCCCUCAGCGCGGCGCGGUGGGUGGUGGGCAAGGCGCUGGCCCCUGUAGCCGAUGGCUUGCUGGAGGCUUGGGAUGCCAGCAAGCGCCUGGGUCUCAACAUCGAGGCCCUGAGGACGGAGCUGCUGCUCGUGCAGGCCACCCUCGAAGCCGCCAGCCGCAAGCAGAUCGACGGCCCGGCCUUGGAGGAGCUGCUGGGGAAGCUGCGGCACUCGGCGCACUCCGCUGAGGACUUGCUGGACGAGCUGGACUACUUCCGCAUCCACGACGAGCUCCACGACACGUACGACGCCGCCGACCAGCAUGCCAAGGGAUGCCUCCAUGACCUUGCCCUCAACGCUCGUCACACCGCCAAAGCUGUGCUUGGUUUAUCUGCGUGCUCGUCUGCUGCCUGUUGUCCCAAUGAACCCGGAGAAGUGGAAGAUGCCAGACAACAACAGGCCAGCUGUUGCACUUGGCCACGUGGUAGGCAGAGGUCUCGCGGCGAUUCCUCCUCGACGCCAAACACCAAUCAGGUUGAUGAGGACGGCGGGUGCAUGCUCAAGCUCGGUAAACUCCUCCCUUGCUCAUAUUUGCCGCGUGUUCGUGAUGAUCAUUCUGGCCAGCCAACUCACUCUGGCGCGCCACGGAGAGCAGCACCAAUGCUGGGGUUUAAUAGGGUUGAUGUCUCUGAAAGAAUGAAGCGUGUCAUAGAGCAAUUGCAGCCUGUGCGUACGGAGGUUGCCAAGGUUCUGCAGAGUUGUGGCCGUACGAUUGUCCCAGAUAUUGCCAAGAGUCGUCCCAUCACCACCGGUCAGAGCAUAGAGCCAAAACUGUAUGGGAGGGUCCAUAUCAUGAAUGGCAUCAUACAUGAUAUGACCAAGGGUAGAUACCAUAGCAAGGAUCUAACUGUGCUUCCGAUUGUCGGUCCAGGGGGGAUAGGGAAGACAACUCUGAUACAACACAUAUAUAGAAACCAACAGGUUAGAAAUCAUUUUCAAGUUGUUAUUUGGGUGUGCGUGUCACUCAAAUUCAAUUUGAAUAAACUUUUGGAAGAGAUCGAAACAUAUAUCCCUCGUGUUGAAGGGGAAAAAUAUGGCAGGGUGGAAGAGCUGAUUGAGCAGAGAUUAAGAUCUAAAAGGUUUUUGCUUGUACUGGAUGAUAUAUGGGAGUUUAGUGACGAGGAUGAUUGGAAAAGGUUAUUGCUGCCACUCAAAACAUCACAAGAAAAAGGUAGCAUGAUCCUACUCACAACUCGGUUUCCAAUAAUAGCAAAGAUGGUUAAAACAACUGAUUAUAUAGAGUUGGAGGGAUUAGAAUCCGAACAAUUUAGGAAGUUAUUCCUUAGAUUUAUCUUUGGUGAUGAGCCCUUUAGAAGUGAUCAUAAUUUUUUGCUCGAUACCGGAGAUAAGAUAAUGGAAAAACUAAAGGGCUCCCCUCUUGCUGCAAAAACUGUUGGUACAUUACUGAGAAAGUGCCUUAAUUUGCGUCAUUGGAGAAGGGUUUUAGAAAGUAAAGAAUGGGAGAGACAAACCGGUGCCAAUGACAUUAUGCCUGCCCUGAAGCUUAGCUAUGACUAUCUUUCUUUCCAUCAACAACAAUGUUUCUUCUAUUCUGCACUAUUUCCGGAAGAUCAUGAGUAUAGUACCACUGAGCUAAUCAAUUUGUGGAUAGGACUAGAUAUUUUACAACCUGGUGUGCAGAAUCAAACAUUGGAAGGUGUAGGUUUAAUGAAUUUAAAUGAUCUGGUCACACAUGGAUUUUUCAAAGAAGAGGAAACUAAUGGUCGUGUGCGUUAUGUAAUGCAUGACCUGCUACAUGAUUUAGCACUAAAGGUUGGGUCUCAUGAAUGUCUUACUGUACAUCAGUCUAAUGUGGGGUCAGUAGAAAUUAAGCCAUCUAUUCGUCACUUGUCUAUAAUCAUUGAUGAUGAUCAUACAAUGUGUGAUGAAAACUUUAAGAGCCAAUUGAGAAAGCUGAAGACAAGAUUGAAGGUUAGAGAAUUGCAUACUUUGAUGUUAUUUGGAGAAAUGGACGAAAGCUUUUCCCACAUUUUGAAUGAUUUGUUUAAGGAAGCUAAUGCCCUUCGCUUUAUCCGUUUGGUUGACAUGUCGUCUUCUGUGGAGUUCAUAUUACCUAACAAUUCAGCACUUGUCCACCUACGGUACCUAUGUUUGGGGACAAAGUAUAUGAGGGAGAUACCACUUGCCAUUUCCAAAUUUUAUCAUUUAAGGAUUCUAGAUCUUGGAUGGUGGCAUGGCUGUUGCGAUGUGCCAAAAGACUUGAGCAACCUUGCAAAAUUGCGUCAUUUUUAUACCCCAAGUGAUGAGCUUCAUUCUCAUAUUUAUAAUGUGGGGAAACUUACACUCUUAGAAGAGUUGAAGGUAUUUAAAGUCAAUAAAGAAAGUGAAGGAUUUGAACCAAAGCAACUUGAGCAUUUGACGGAACUAAGGGAACUUGGCAUGUAUAACCUUGAGAAUAUACACACGAAAGAAGAAGCAACCAAAGCAAAAUUGAUUGAAAAAAAUUACUUGGAGAGGUUAACCUUAGAUUGGGAUACUGAGCGGUCUAAUAGCAAGCCUGAUGUGGAAGAGGUGGUUCUUGAGAGCCUUCAACCACAUAGAUAUCUUCAAGAGUUGUCUAUUAGAGGGCAUGGAGGCCCUUCCUGUCCAACAUGGCUAGGUGAUAAGCUCACGGUUGAAGGUCUUCAAUCUCUUCAUCUCAUCGGUGUUUCUUGGCAAUGUCUCCCUUCUUUUGGGAAGAUGUGGGAUCUUCGUACAUUAAUAUUGAAGCAUAUUGCUGCAACAAAGGAGUUUGUUAUAGAGCAAACCUUCUGUGGGCUAAGAAGGCUUGAACUUGUUGGACUGGCAAACUUUGAGAAAUGGGUACCAUCACAGGAUGCUCAUCAUGUGUUUCCUCUUUUGCAAGUACUGAUUAUUAGAGACUGCCCUAAACUCUUGGAGUUGCCAUUUUCAAACCACAUUGUUGAUCAAGAUUGGAGCAUUGAUUGGUUUCCCAAAUUGCAAGAGCUUCAGAUAGAGAACUGUCCGGAAUUCUUGUUAGUGGCUCAUAUCCCUUGGACUGAAACUCUCCAUUCUGUAAAAAUACGAAGCGUAAAACUACUAGAGAAGUUUGAGUACUCAAAAUCAUCCUACAGAGCAGGAUUGGAGAUUGUUGGAAAGGGUGAUCUACAGAUGUUAGAUCAGGUGUUAGCAUUCAAUAACCUGACAGGUCUUGAGCAGCUGAUGCUAUCCACUGGCUCGUUUUCCUCCCCUUGCUGCUUCAUUUUCCCGCCCUCUCUGCAAUACCUUAUUAUUUCCGGUGUGGAAGGUAUGGGGACACUGGAGCCGCUCUCAAACCUCACCUCUCUCACCCGAUUAGUAUUGGAGAACUGUGGAGAGGAUCAAAGCUGCAAGGGCCUGGGACCUCUCCUUGCCGUCGGGGGACAGCUCAGAGAAUUACUCAUCUAUGGCAGCCCUAGAUUCUUUGUUGGAUGGGAUCCCAAUCCCAGGCAGGUGCUGCAGGAUGGAGGAGGAGAAGAGCAUGAGCUGCUUGUUUCCACCCCAAAUUCAUCAAAACUGCAGGAGCUUUGUACGGAUGAGGCCAUGGGACUCCUUGUUGUGCCCAUCUGUAGCUUCCUGUCUUCCUCCCUCACCCGCCUGCAUCUCUAUGGAAACCAAAAGAUGAAGUGCUUCACCAAGGAGCAAGAGGGCGCCCUUCACCUCCUCGCAUCCCUCCAGGAGCUCGAGUUUUCGAUGUUCGACAAGCUUCAGAGCCUCCCUGCAGGGCUGCACAAGCUGACCAGCCUCAGACGAUUAGAGGUCCGCUCAUGUCCGUGCGUCCGGUCGCUGCCCGAGGAUGGCCUCCCCGAAUUACUGCAACAGUUAGAUGUCUGGCUCUGCAACAAUGAGGAGCUAAAACAGCAGUGCAGGGGGUUAGCGGGAACCAUCCCAAAAAUCAAUUAG